rnacentral:ncRNA from 1 species
UAGUAGUUUGAGGGAUCGAAAGAUGAAGAACGAGAUGCAGGGAACAAAUCUGGUAAAGGGAUUAGUCAGGUAUUGCGGAAGGAUAAUAAUCCAUGAAGGUCGAGAGGCUCGACCUUAUCCUCGAAACGGCAAUAGAGGAGAUAGUGUUAUCGAAAGGUAAGGCGUCAUGAAUGCGAAAGCAGCUCUUUUGUAACUCCUAGGAAGAAUCCAAGUGUACGGGGGAGGGACUUGAAACAGUCAACGUACAUCUUACA